GACGAACGCUGGCGGCGUGCUUAACACAUGCAAGUCGAACGCUGAACCACUUUCGGGUGGGGAUGAGUGGCGAACGGGUGAGUAACACGUGGGUAAUCUGCCCUGCACUCUGGGAUAAGCCUUGGAAACGAGGUCUAGUACCGGAUAUCACCUCCCUUCGCAUGGAGGGUGGUUGAAAGCUCCGGCGGUGCAGGAUGAACCCGCGGCCUAUCAGCUUGUUGGUGGGGUAGUGGCCUACCAAGGCGACGACGGGUAGCCGGCCUGAGAGGGUGACCGGCCACACUGGGACUGAGACACGGCCCAGACUCCUACGGGAGGCAGCAGUGGGGAAUACUGCACAAUGGGCGCAAGCCUGAUGCAGCGACGCCGCGUGAGGGAUGACGGCCUUCGGGUUGUAAACCUCUUUCGCCAGGGACGAAGCGCAAGUGACGGUACCUGGAUAAGAAGCACCGGCUAACUACGUGCCAGCAGCCGCCGUAACAC
rnacentral:rRNA from 1 species